ACCGGCCGUCGCGGCUCGUGCCGCGCCCUCGCGCAAGCGAGAACGAAACAGGUUUACAAGGGCUGCGAUGAAGUAACUUACCUUGAAUACAUAGAGGUAAAGUGGCGAACGCAGGGAACUGAAACAUCUAAGUACCUGGAGGAAAGGACAUCAACAGAGACUCCGCUAGUAGUGGCGAGCGAACGCGGAUCAGGCCAGUGGCUGAUGAGCGGCGAAGUGGAACGCGUUGGAAAGCGCGACCAGAGUGGGUGACAGUCCCGUACGCGUAAUGCUCUCUUCAGUCCUUGAGUAAGGCGGGACACGUGAAAUCCUGUCUGAAAUUCGGGGGACCACCCUCGAAGCCUAAGUACUCGUGCAUGACCGAUAGUGAACCAGUACCGUGAGGGAAAGGUGAAAAGCACCCCGACAAGGGGAGUGAAAGAGAACCUGAAACCGGAUGCCUACAAACAGUGGGAGCCCAAGGUUCGUCCUGGGUGACCGCGUACCUUUUGUAUAAUGGGUCAGCGACUUAGUGUGACGAGCAAGCUUAAGCCGGUAGGUGUAGGCGCAGCGAAAGCGAGUCUGAACAGGGCGUUCAGUUCGUCGGAUUAGACCCGAAACCGAGUGAUCUAGCCAUGAGCAGGUUGAAGGUGCGGUAACACGCACUGGAGGACCGAACCCGCAUCUGUUGCAAUAGAUUGGGAUGACUUGUGGCUAGGGGUGAAAGGCCAAUCAAACUCGGAAAUAGCUGGUUCUCCGCGAAAUCUAUUUAGGUAGAGCGUCGGAUGAAUACCCCGGGGGGUAGAGCACUGGAUGGGCUAGGGGGACUCACCGUCUUACCAAACCUAACCAAACUCCGAAUACCUGGGAGUACUGUCCGGCAGACACACGGCGGGUGCUAACGUCCGUCGUGGAAAGGGAAACAACCCUGACCAACAGCUAAGGUCCCCAAGUUAUGGCUAAGUGGGAAAGGAUGUGAGACUCCCAAAACAACCAGGAUGUUGGCUUAGAAGCAGCCAUCAUUUAAAGAAAGCGUAACAGCUCACUGGUCUAAAUUAAGGGUUUUUGCGCCGAAAAUGUAACGGGGCUCAAGCCAUACACCGAAGCUUUGGGUUCACUUUUAGGAGUGAGCGGUAGCGGAGCGUUCCGUAGGCCUGUGAAGGGGGACCCGUGAGGGCUCCUGGAGGUAUCGGAAGUGCGAAUGCUGACAUGAGUAACGUAAAGGGUGUGAGAGACACUCUCGCCGAAAGUCCAAGGGUUCCUGCUUAAAGUUAAUCUGAGCAGGGUUAGCCGGACCCUAAGUCGAGGCCGACAGGCGUAGACGAUGGGAAUCACGUUAAUAUUCGUGAGCCUGGAGGGAUGUGACGGAUCGCGUAAAUUGUCGGGUCUUAUUGGAUUGAUCCCGGCGGUGAAGCGGUUCCAGGAAAUAGCCCCUCCGUAUAGACCGUACCCGAAACCGACACAGGUGGACUGGUAGAGUAUACCAAGGCGCUUGAGAGAACUAUGCUGAAGGAACUCGGCAAAUUGCACGCGUAACUUCGGAAGAAGCGUGACCCAUAUUUGGGCAACCAUGUGUGGGUGGCACAGACCAGGGGGUAGCGACUGUUUAUCAAAAACACAGGGCUCUGCGAAGUCGCAAGACGACGUAUAGGGUCUGACGCCUGCCCGGUGCCGGAAGGUUAAGAGGAGGGGUGCAAGCUCUGAAUUGAAGCCCCGGUAAACGGCGGCCGUAACUAUAACGGUCCUAAGGUAGCGAAAUUCCUUGUCGGGUAAGUUCCGACCUGCACGAAUGGCGUAACGACUUCCCCGCUGUCUCCAGCAUAGACUCAGUGAAAUUGAAUUCCCCGUGAAGAUGCGGGGUUCCUGCGGU
rnacentral:rRNA from 1 species